UCAUAAAAUACUACAUACAAAUUUAAUAUUGUACACUGUUUAUAGGUAUACUCAGAAUUAUAUUGAUUGAAAUGUGUGAUAUUAACUGGAUUUACAAGACUAUACAUGCAAAUUAUCAAAGAGUUUGACAAAUACCACUUUAUUCCGUGGUUAUCACCUCUUGACUUCAGUUGGGUCAGCCCUGGUCCUUGCAGUAUCUUGGUUCAGUUCACAUAUAGUUGCAAACGGAUUAACCUGUGCCAAUGUUAUUAUUUUAAAAAUCCCUCUUUCCUCCUUUCUUACCACCACUCUUCUAUAAUUCUCCACCAUCAACGAACGUUAACGGAACCAUGCUGUGAUCGUGAUGAUUUACCAAAAUAUAUCACUUUAUACAGUAAGUACAAGCCGGAUUGAAUUAUUUAAAAAUGUAAUAUUAUGUAUGUAUAAUAUAUUUAUAUACAUUAUUAUGUAUAAAUUUUUCAUAUUGUUGUAUCAAAUUUGUCAACAACUGUAAUAAACAAUAAACUAAACAAAACAGCUUUAAAUUAAA